CACCCCCUACCACCAGCAGCCAUGGCUAUGGCAUCAACAACAUCAGCUGCUGCCAAUAUGCUGCUUUCAGGUUCCAUGCCAAGUGCAGACGGAUUAAUGAACCCGAAUUUCAUAGCGCGGACAAUUCUUCCGUGUUCGCCAAGCGUGGCAACUAUUUCAGCAUCAGCACCGUUUCCAACUAUAACAUUGGACCUAACUCAGAACCAAAAUUCAGUAUCGCCUUAUCAUCAAAGAACUCAUCCAACUGCUCAAUUUCAAGUUCCUUUUCCAAUAGGCCCCCAUAAUCCAAAUUUUAUUACUUCAAUGCCACCACCACCAAUGCCACAGGGUUUACAUAACCAAUCAAAGUUUUCAGGCCUACAAGUUUCUCAAGACAUUCAUCGUCAACCUCCACAACAUGCACUCAACCAACCAUCAUUUUCUGACACACUUAAUGCUGCCACGGCGGCCAUCACAGCGGAUCCCAACUUCACGGCCGCUCUGGCCGCAGCCAUCUCGU
rnacentral:lncRNA from 1 species